rnacentral:rRNA from 1 species
AUUGAACGCUGGCGGAAUGCUUUACACAUGCAAGUCGAACGGCAGCACGGGAGCUUGCUCCUGGUGGCGAGUGGCGAACGGGUGAGUAAUGCGUCGGAACGUGCCGAGUAAUGGGGGAUAACGCAGCGAAAGUUGUGCUAAUACCGCAUACGCCCUGAGGGGGAAAGUGGGGGAUCGCAAGACCUCACGUUAUUCGAGCGGCCGACGUCUGAUUAGCUAGUUGGUGGGAUAAAGGCCUACCAAGGCGACGAUCAGUAGCGGGUCUGAGAGGAUGAUCCGCCACACUGGGACUGAGACACGGCCCAGACUCCUACGGGAGGCAGCAGUGGGGAAUUUUGGACAAUGGGGGCAACCCUGAUCCAGCCAUUCCGCGUGAGUGAAGAAGGCCUGGUUGUAAGACGUCUUUCUAGCUGGAGUGAAACGGUAGCGCGUCUAA